GACGAACGCUGGCGGCGUGCCUAAUACAUGCAAGUAGAACGCUGAAGGAGGAGCUUGCUUCUCCGGAUGAGUUGCGAACGGGUGAGUAACGCGUAGGUAACCUGCCUGGUAGCGGGGGAUAACUAUUGGAAACGAUAGCUAAUACCGCAUAACAGUAGAUAUUGCAUGAUAUCUGCUUGAAAGGUGCAAUUGCAUCACUACCAGAUGGACCUGCGUUGUAUUAGCUAGUUGGUGAGGUAACGGCUCACCAAGGCGACGAUACAUAGCCGACCUGAGAGGGUGAUCGGCCACACUGGGACUGAGACACGGCCCAGACUCCUACGGGAGGCAGCAGUAGGGAAUCUUCGGCAAUGGACGGAAGUCUGACCGAGCAACGCCGCGUGAGUGAAGAAGGUUUUCGGAUCGUAGAGCUCUGUUGUAAGAGAAGAACGAGUGUGAGAGUGGAAAGUUCACA
rnacentral:rRNA from 1 species